CAAGAAGAAGAAUGCUUUUUGCUUAAUUUCACUGAUUAAUUUUAAUAAAGGAUAGAGGUAAAUAGGAUAUACAAAAUUUCAGAUAAGUUGAUAAAGUUUGCAAGCAUCCUGAAAAAUGUUGAUAUUUAUUAAUUAAAUGUUGCACAGAAUUCUUGAACGGAGAUGGAAUACGUUAUUCCUUCUAUCACUAAAAAUCCAACUAAAAGUUCGAUUCUUUUCUGAUGAAUUUUUGCAAAAGAACAUGACUUCUACAUUAUUCCUAUUGUUACUGGUACGUCACGUGACAUGGUACUAUGCUUGCUUUUGGCGAAAGCCUGAUCACGUGACAUACUCCUGCCUACUGUAACAAUAACAGUGGGGAUAAUAUAACGUAUUUUCAUUUGUAUUCUUAUAUAAAAAUUCGCCAGAAAGAAAUCAAGUUACUUUUAAUGAUAGAAGUGAUAGAAGUAUACUAUCUUUGUCCAACAAUCUUGUUGUCGUACUUGUGCAACUCUAAUUGUGCGUGCUACAGAAUUUUUUCCAUUAAUUUCUCAAGUUUUCUUCUUAAUUUCUCAAUUUCUUUAAUUUUCGAGAAGUAAAUUUCACGAAAAGAAGAGUCUUGAUAUGAUACGUUUCGUGUUACCGUCAGUUGCACAACAUUCUUGGUAAUUUAAGAAAUGUGACGUAAUUGCAAAAUCUUGGUCAGAAGUUGGUUGGAAAUUUAUAGGAUUACAUAAGUGAUCAGAAGUACCUUUUUCUCGAUAAUUGAUCGAAGAAAUGGAUAAAAAGAGAAUGAAGAAAUUAUUAAAUAAAAUAUUUGUAUUUACUUACCGAGGCAAUGGCUAUAUUCAAAAGUAGAUCACCUAUAUCAAGUUGGCGUGGUUUACCAUUGUC